AGACAUGUAACUUACUCCAGAGACGCACUAACUUGCACAGCAUUGAAUGGAAAAGGCUUUGUCCAUGUUUUCUGGAAGCUCCAUUUGAGGGCAUCAAGGACAUACUGAUGGCCUAAACCAGUGUCAGCCUAGACAGACAGACAUCUAUUGCAGUUCUGCUACACAAGACCAAACUCUCUGCUUUUGUAUGGAUGUCUGACUAGUAUGGUGUUCUCUAAAGGUGUAACUGGAGCAAAACAACAGCACCCGUUACAGUGAAAUUUGUGUUCAUAAAAGAUAGUGAUAUAUCAGGUAUAGUAACAGGUCCAGUACAUUUGUCAUAAAGGUUAAAUCACAGUAAGUACUGUAAAAAUAACUUGUUUGCCUUUGCCACAACAGGUCAUGGUGUGUGCAUACUACUCGUAGUAAACACACACGCUGAUCUGAUGGGGGAGAGAUAUACGCAAACACAUUUGUAUUUACUGUUUUGUUUUGCCUCACUAAAGUGUUGUUGGAGCUUGGUAUGUUCACAGUUGAAAUCACUGAAGUCACAUGGAACGUUUUGACAAUGUGUUUUGUGCCUUAUCUUGACAAUGACCAUCUUGGGACCAUUGCUGUCUGUAGAGGAUGAGG
rnacentral:lncRNA from 1 species